rnacentral:rRNA from 1 species
UGAUGUGUAGGAUAGGUGGGAGGCUUUGAAGCGUGGACGCCAGUCUGCGUGGAGCCGACCUUGAAAUACCACCCUUUAAUGUUUGAUGUUCUAACGUGGACCCGUGAUCCGGGUUGCGGACAGUGUCUGGUGGGUAGUUUGACUGGGGCGGUCUCCUCCUAAAGAGUAACGGAGGAGCACGAAGGUUGGCUAAUCCUGGUCGGACAUCAGGAGGUUAGUGCAAUGGCAUAAGCCAGCUUGACUGCGAGCGUGACGGCGCGAGCAGGUGCGAAAGCAGGUCAUAGUGAUCCGGUGGUUCUGAAUGGAAGGGCCAUCGCUCAACGGAUAAAAGGUACUCCGGGGAUAACAGGCUGAUACCGCCCAAGAGUUCAUAUCGACGGCGGUGUUUGGCACCUCGAUGUCGGCUCAUCACAUCCUGGGGCUGAAGUAGGUCCCAAGGGUAUGGCUGUUCGCCAUUUAAAGUGGUACGCGAGCUGGGUUUAGAACGUCGUGAGACAGUUCGGUCCCUAUCUGCCGUGGGCGCUGGAGAACUGAGGGGGGCUGCUCCUAGUACGAGAGGACCGGAGUGGACGCAUCACUGGUGUUCGGGUUGUCAUGCCAAUGGCACUGCCCGGUAGCUAAAUGCGGAAGAGAUAAGUGCUGAAAGCAUCUAAGCACGAAACUUGCCCCGA